UAUUCCCUGCGCUGUUUGUGAUCUGCGGAGUAUUGAGCCAACUCUCAUUGAUAGGGUAGCUCCCCUGUUGAAUUAUGGAAAACUCUUUUGAUUUCCAGACGGCAAUAUGAGCAUGCCCACCUGUGUAUUCAGGUUUAAUCAUUGCGUUGACACGGCAGGGCGGGGAUUAU
rnacentral:other from 1 species